rnacentral:lncRNA from 1 species
CUGGGACGCUUGCACGAAAGAACCCGACAAAAACCAGAGCCCGCACUCACUCUCGUACUGGGGAGGUGGACUUCAGGGAGGGUUAUCUGGAGGAGGAAUCUCUCAAAGUACAACACAGGAGAAAGACAGUAUCGCAAUACAGAAAUUUUAUUUUUUAUUUUAUUAUUAUUUUCCUGAGACCGGAGUCUCGCUCUGUCGCCCAGGCUGGAGUGCAGUGGCGCGAUCUCGGCUCACUGCAAACUCCGCCUCCCGGGUUCACGCCAUUCGGCUGCCUCACCCUCCACAGUAGCUGGGACUACAAGCGCCCGCCACCACGCCCGGCUAAUUUGCAAUACGGAAAUUUUAAUAGCCUCAGCUUCCACGGAAUCCAUGCCCACAUCUUCAUAAUCCUCCAGAGCUGCCAGAUCCUCGCGGGCCUCGGAGAAUUCCCCCACUGCCAUGCCCUCCCCCACGUACCAGUGCACUAAGG